UCUCCGUUGGUGAACCAGCGGAGGGAUCAUUACCGAGUUUGCAACUCCCAAACCCCUGUGAACAUACCAUUUGUUGCCUCGGCGGUGCCUGCUUCGGCAGCCCGCCAGAGGACCCAAACCCUUGAUUUUAUACAGUAUCUUCUGAGUAAAUGAUUAAAUAAAUCAAAACUUUCAACAACGGAUCUCUUGGUUCUG
rnacentral:misc_RNA from 1 species